rnacentral:rRNA from 1 species
GAUGAACGCUGGCGGCGUGCCUAAUACAUGCAAGUCGAGCGAACAGACGAGGAGCUUGCUCCUCUGACGUUAGCGGCGGACGGGUGAGUAACACGUGGAUAACCUACCUAUAAGACUGGGAUAACUUCGGGAAACCGGAGCUAAUACCGGAUAAUAUAUUGAACCGCAUGGUUCAAUAGUGAAAGACGGUUUUGCUGUCACUUAUAGAUGGAUCCGCGCCGCAUUAGCUAGUUGGUAAGGUAACGGCUUACCAAGGCAACGAUGCGUAGCCGACCUGAGAGGGUGAUCAGCCACACUGGAACUGAGACACGGUCCAGACUCCUACGGGAGGCAGCAGUAGGGAAUAUUCCGCAAUGGGCGAAAGCCUGACGGAGCAACGCCGCGUGAGUGAUGAAGGUCUUCGGGUCGUAAAACUCUGUUAUUAGGGAAGAACAAAUGUGUAAGUAACUCUGCACGUCUUGACGGUACCUAAUCAGAAAGCCACGGCUAACUACGUG